GAUUCUAGUAGAUUAAGUUUAAAUUGUAAGGCUGUUAACUUUAAGAUGAUGUGGUGUUUGUCCUGAAUCG
rnacentral:tRNA from 1 species